CCCUAAAUAUAUUUUUUCACACACAAAAAUAGAACAAAAGAUGAAAAAAAAUACAAAAGGCGAAUUAGAAUCAAAGGAUAUGGCUCCGACAAGGAGGAAGAGGACCAAGCAGAGGAGAAAGGCGAGGGCUGGUUUUACCAGCAUCAAGAUCAACAAGGAGGAGUGAGUCUUGACGCUCCUUAAUUAUGAAAAUUUUGAAUAAUUGGGAAUAACUCCCAGAUGGAGAAGAACAAACAUCUAAAAUUUUGUGUAGCAAGGGGAAAGAAUCAAAGGAUCAUCUAAAAUUUGCCCGUGAUGACCUUUUGGGCAUAAAUAUUCCAGGUUUGUUAUUUGUUUUUUUUAAGUCUGUGGGAGGAUAUGCUAAGCUGAAGAGUUGUGCUUAUUGUUUCUCUAUUGGUCACUGGGAGUGGGAGGACUGUGAAUAUUGUCCUAGACCCAAGGACGUCGUCUUUGAGAAAGAUGAAUACUUAGAUGGGGAUGGGAUUUCCUCAGAGUGAGGAUGAGGAUGCAUUUCGACCCCUUAAAUAGUGCUCCAUGGGGACUAUAAUAUACCAAAGGCAACUCACCAAAUCCAUCUUCAGGUCCCCUAAUUGUGUCAUUUGCUAGGGCCUUCCACAACUCUAAUGUAUUAGUUUUGUGCCAGGUUUAAGCAUGACGACAAUUGUUAUAUAAUAACUACGACUCCCAAAUCCAUUUUCUGUUUUAUUAAUUCUGAGUCUUUUAAUGUAUCAGUGGCCAUCAAUUUUUAUGCCUUUUAGAAUUCUCAGUACAUUUUCUUAGUUUUGUGUGUUUUGAGUAGACGGCUAUAUAAGGGCCAAUAUUAUGUAUGAAGAGAUCGGUGGUGCAGCCUAAUGUAGUGCUAUUUUGCUUUUCUCA